CCCUCACGCUUUAUUCCUCUAAGGCAUUUUAAAACUCAUCUUUUCAGCUCACUCGUCUUCCACACUGUUUAUUAUAAACCAACACUGUACUCUGCGGCAUGCUCUCCAGCUCCUACACUCAUUACCCUCACGUUUCAUCAGCUCCUACACUCAUUACCCUCACGUUUCAUCAGCUCCUGCACUCAUUACUCUCACAGUUAUAAAACAGAGCAAUGUCCCUCUUCAUAUCGCACACUUCUUCCUUCUUUCUUUCUGCUCUUUUCUCCUUCUUUCUCAUUCCUUCCUUUCUCUCUUCAAUCUGAGAGUUACAGGAGACAGAGUGAGAAAGUGAGAGACGGUGAGAUGGAGGGAAAUAGGCGAGAGAUAGAGAGCUGAGUGAGAUUAAGAGAGAAACAGAGGAAGAGAAGGAGAGGAACCCAGACCCAGAGACCCGAUCGUGGAGGACCCGUGCGCAGAGCCGAUGAACAGAGACCCGAAACCCGGGAAACCCGUCAACGCCGUACCCAGAUCCCGGCAACCCAGCGAACCCAGAGAACCGAUCAACCCGUUCAGCCCGUGACCCACGGCAACCCAGAACUGGAACCCAGCAACCCAGCUCGACGACCCGUAGCAGACCCGUGACCCAACGAACCCAGAACCACCGUGACCCAGCCGAGCUCGUACGUCGUUAGCCCGGAAAACCCGAUCCUCCUUGCCUGGCGAUUCCAGCAGCAAUUCCCGGCCAUCUCAGUGGAUUGUUGGCCGGUUGAUCUGUGGUGAUUUCCGGCGAUUCUAGCCGGAAAUCUGGCAACUUCCAUGGGCGAUUUUCUGAUGAUGAACUGAGAGACUGUACAAAAAGACUCCCAUGUUGCAGGUACGAAAGUGUAUAAAGCUCAAGGAUAGGAGUUUGUUAACAUUACAGGAAAUUAGAACUGUUCGAUAAUGUAGUUGAUGAAUGUAGUGAAUUCUUGUAUCAAUUUGAAAUGUAAUACUUUAAUUACGUUUAUCACUCAAUAAAGCUCUGAUGUGUUAUUUAAUUCAAGCCUGUUGGAUAAAUUAUAUCUUCCGCUGCGAGAGUUUAUCUCUGAGGUAGUAACGUCACGUGGAAACCGGAGGUUUCUGCUUACGAAUUUGCUGGUUCAAAUUUGGGGCGUUACAGUAUGUUUGCUGAGGGGCUGUUUCAUCUUGAUCCUAGGCUUUCCAUCUACAUUGAUACCGGACUACAGGAUGAUCUGAGUAAGGAGGCAGCCAAAAGGAAGACCGGCAGUGUCCUCAUCACGAGCCUCGAGCAUGACUCCCAGAAUAUGUUUGCAGAGACAGAAAGGAAAGCGAAAGUGAACAUCAUAAACAAACUGGGCCUUCUUCAAUAUCAGAUUACUGCGCCUGGUAACCGGCCACAGAUUGUGCAGAAUAAUUUUGGCAAACAUACGAUGAACUGGACCUAGAGCACCAAUCUUGAUGGAGGUCUGAUGCCCCUCACCCUGUGGAACAGCAUGGAAAAACUCUUGGAGCUCAUCCAUAGAGGGAGGAAGCACCACCUCGUUGAAUGGACUGGCAGGUAGAUCGAGAACAGGUACCCUGAUAAACUGGCUGAUGAUCUGGGGAUCAACAGUGAUUAUGUGUCCAUCAACAGUGGACUGCAGUACCAUCCCACGCUCAUCAUCCUGAGCAACCUCCAAGUUUGCAUAAAAAAGUCGGACCAGCCUGGUGAGGACGACGCAGGCACAGGUAUAGAGGUAGGUCCACUGAUAAUGCUGGAUAGUCUCAUGGAUACUGUUUAGCGGAGGCACCAUGAUAUCUACACGGACCACGUUCCGUUCAGCAAUGACAGUCCGGUCCAUAAUCUUCGCUUGUAUUUCAUUUUGCUCUGCUUCUGUCCUCUGACGGACCCGGCGCUGGAAACUGAUGGCAGACAUGAUUCUGCAAAAAGAAAACCAACAAGAAUAUUCCAAAAAAAAUAAUCCCAAAAAAAAUCUUGUUAGGUUAGCAAAAGUUUUGGGCAG